AUUGAACGCUGGCGGCAUGCCUAACACAUGCAAGUCGAGCGGAUGAAGGGAGCUUGCUCCUUGAUUCAGCGUCGGACGGGUGAGUAAUGCCUAGGAAUCUGCCUGCUAGUGGGGGAUAACGUCCGGUAACGGGCGCUAAUACCGCAUACGUCCUGAGGGUGAAAGUUGGGGUUCUUCUGACCUCACGCUAUCAGAUGAUCCUAGGUCGGAUUACCUAGUUGGUGGGGUAAAGGCCUACCAAGGCGACGAUCCGUAACUGGUCUGAGAGGAUGAUCAGUCACACUGGAACUGAGACACGGUCCAGACUCCUACGGGAGGCAGCAGUGGGGAAUAUUGGACAAUGGGCGAAAGCCUGAUCCAGCCAUGCCGAGUGUGUGAAGAAGGUCUUCGGAUUGUAAAGCACUUUAAGUUGGGAGGAAGGGCAGUAAGUUAAUACCUUGCUGUUUUGACGUUACCAACAGAAUAAGCACCGGCUAACUUCGU
rnacentral:rRNA from 1 species